rnacentral:lncRNA from 1 species
ACUCCCUGAAUGGAACACCGAACACCACAUCUUCCAUCGCUCCAUCACUAGACUUGGGUUCAUAAUAUGUUAGGACUAGGAGGUAUUUGGAAUACAUGAAAAACAUGAAGCUCAUGUUACUCAUAGGGCAGUGAAAGAAAUUGGACGAUGGAUAGGAGGGCUUCAACGAGUACUAGUGAGGCACUAAAGGCCUCUUUGUUAGUGCUUCAAAUUUGAAGUGGCUUUGGGUACUUCCAAUAUAGAUCAAAAAUAAUUUCUAUCUAUAUAUUUCUAUGCCAUGUAAGUAAUUUGCUGAGGUGGUAUGUUAUUUAUUA